GCUCCGGUGGCCUAGUGGUUAGAGUUUCAACCUCGGAUGCGGAAGGUCGUGGGUUCGAGCCCCGGUCGAGUCA